rnacentral:rRNA from 1 species
UACGAAGGGGGCUAGCGUUGCUCGGAAUCACUGGGCGUAAAGGGUGCGUAGGCGGGUCUUUUAAGUCAGGGGUGAAAUCCUGGAGCUCAACUCCAGAACUGCCUUUGAUACUGAAGGUCUUGAGUUCGGGAGAGGUGAGUGGAACUGCGAGUGUAGAGGUGAAAUUCGUAGAUAUCGGGAGGAACACCAGUGGCGAAGGCGGCAACCUGGACAGAUAUUGACGCUGAGGUGCGAAAGCGUGGGGAGCAAACAGG